rnacentral:sRNA from 7 species
UUGCUAUCUGCGAUAUGGAAGAUUCGAACCUGCCGCAGGUCCGGGUCUCACGCAGUGAGACAACGGAGCCGCUUGCGGCGACGGCCCGAAGGGCGAGCGAAGCGAGUCAUCCUGCACGACCCACCA